AAAUGUUCGUUUUCCAAUCUGAAUUUUUCCGAUUCGGAUUCAUGGGUUAGUAAAUCAGCCCCUUAAUAUACAUAGUUUCCCUCAUUUCAAGGCACCAUAUUGUGUGGGAGACAGUAACGGUUGGUAUAUUAGAGAAGUCAUGUUUAGUACUUUGUUGCAUAUCCCUUGCAUGCAAUGACUGCUUGAAGUCUGCAAUUCAUAGACAUCACCAGGUGCUGAGUAUCUUCUCUGUGAUGCCCUGCCAAGCCUCUACUGCAGCCACCUUCAACUCCUGCUUGUUCUGGGCGCUUGUCCCUUUAAGAUUCCAAUAAUUGGAUUUAAAUCAGGUGACUGCUUGGCCAUUCAAGAAUUUCCCAGUUUAAGCUUUAAGAAACUCCUGUGUUGCCCUAGCAGUAUGUUUGGGAUCAUAAGCUUGUUGCAGGAUGGAGCACCAUCCAAUGAAUUUGGAGGCAUUUACUAGAGCUUGAGCAGAUAAGAUGUUUCCAUCAGCAGUUAUAUAAUCAAUGAAGAUAAGUGUGGCAGUACCUGUGGCAGCCAUACAUGCCCAAGCAAUAACACCCCCACCACUGUGUUUAACAGAUGAGCUGGUAUGCUUUGGAUCUUGGGCAGUUCCUUAUCAUCUACACACUUUUCUCCUGCCAUCACUUUAAUACAAGUUAAUCUUGGUCUCUUCUGUCCAUAACAGAUUUCCCAGAAUUCUGCAGGCUCUUUUAAGUGCUUUUAUGCCAAAGCGGAUAGCAGUCUCUGACAAAGACACGCCUGCCUCCGGAAGAGUUUUUCCUGAGCUGUUGGACAGGCGUUUGAGGAUUUUUCUUUACCAUAACUCACAGCUUUUCACCUCAUGUUGAACAAUGGCAACUACAGACUCCAAAUGGUAGAAGCAGCCUUGGUACCUUAUCCCUGCACUAAUGCACAAACACCUGUGAAGCCAGUUGUCCCUGACAUGAAGGGGACUAUGUAUAAAAUGUUUGUAACUUCUAUAUGGUAAACAUGAAAUGUAUGCAAAUAACUUUAAAGUGCACAUUCCGGACUUUAACUUAAUCAUGUCUAAAUUGUUUGAUUUUACAUUUUACACUGAGAAUCAGAGAGGCAAAUCAAAGAAAAAUGUGUCUUUGUCCCAUACAUUAUGGCAGGCACUGUAAGGUAGUGGCAGAUGUUAGCAGAUGUACCAUGUGGCCCACCAGCCAGUGGGUGUGCUUUGGUCUCCAAAUCUAUACACACGCAUUUGACUUUCUGCCUGCCUUGAUCCCGUGCCUGGUUGACCAGGUUUUGUUUGAUCCUUGCCUGUCCCUUGUUCUACCUAGUCUGCUCUUUCCCCCAAAAGAGCAUCAGUGAAGACUGGGGCUAGUUGAGAUCUUUUUGCUUUAAGAGGAGUUACAAUUGUGCCAGCAGUCCAUCAUCUGGGUGCUCAUAUACUGUACCCAUACUGUAUGCUGGUUUGUUCAUGACAAUUGAUCAAAAUUGAACAUCCUCUCAUUAGAAAAGAUAUUUUCAGUUAAUCUGAAUCCAUUCAACUGCAAAUAUGAGGUUUUACUUGUGUCUGAUGGAGCUAAAUUUGGCAGAUUGAAGUGAUUCAAUUACACUCUCCUAGAGCUGAAAGCUAAAGUUCAGUGACGCUAAUUUAUGUUUCAGGAUGAGGGUGGUACACCAUUUAUCUGUAGUAUUGUAUGUAUUAUGUUUGGAAUCAAGAUAAAUUUGCCCUUUUAUGUCUGUAGCAGAGGUGGGCUAUGUUUCAUUAUAUCAUUAAAAAAGAAAAUCGAAAGAGCACACUUAUUAAAAUGCUAUAAGAAAUCUUGUAAUGAUAAAAAGCAAAAGUUCAUAAAAAUACACGCUUUAAUACAAAUCUUUCCAGGAUUAACUAUCAUAUUAUAUUCUUCUAAAAUCUAUAUUACAUGGUUACAGUUACAGCAAGUAGAACCAGUAUUGCGGUCACAAAGGGUGACGCAGUUGUGCUGCACCUAUCAUAAUUGUGUCUGAUUUGGCACAAUUACUGCAACUGUGCACGCAUUUCAGCUUAAAUCAGACACAAGUAGUGUAGUUUGAUGCUGCAGGGAAAUUGCAGGGACAGAUAUGGGGCUGCGGAUAGAAAUGAGUCCUAUUGUCUGAAGUAUCUGUGAAGUAAUUGAUAACUGUACCACCUGAAAACUACUAACAGAGAACUACUGGCACCAAAGUUCUAUAUGAAAAUUCAUUAUUAAGCAUGGCUCAUAUUUUUUUUUAUAAUCUCCUUGUUAGGCAACCUAACAAAUAAUUGUACAAUGUUGCAGAACAUGUUGGUACUUUAUAAAAACACGUUUUCAUCUUUUA